UUUUACCCCCGCUGGAAACUUAAAGCCAUAUCCAAAUAAGCGGAGGGAAAAAGAAAACCCAACCAGGGGAUUUGCCCUUAGUAACGGGCGGAGUGAAGCGGCAACAGCUCAAAAUUUGAAAUCUGGCCCCCCAGGCCCCGAAGUUGUAAAUUUGCAGGAGGAUGCUUUUGGGCGCGGUGCCUUCCGAGUUCCCUGGAACGGGACGCCAUAGAGGGUGAGAGCCCCCGUCUGGUUGGAUACCAAGCCUUUGUAAAGCUCCUUCGACGAGUCGAGUAGUUUGGGAAUGCUGCUCUAAAUGGGAGGUAUAUGUCUUCUAAAGCUAAAUACCGGCCAGAGACCGAUAGCGCACAAGUAGAGUGAUCGAAAGAUGAAAAGCACUUUGUAAAGAGAGUUAAACAGCACGUGAAAUAGUAAAAAGGGAAGCGUUUAUGACCAGACUUGGGGUGGUUAUUCUUCCACCGUUCUCGCUGGUGCACUUUGCCGGUCCAGGCCAGCAUCAGUUCGCUGCGGGGGAUAAAGGCGUCGGGAAUGUGGCUCCUCUGGAGUGUUAUAGCCCUUCGCGCAAUACCCUGCGGUGGACUGAGGUUCGCGCAUCUGCAAGGAUGCUGGCGUAAUGGUCAUCAACGACCCGUCUUGAAACACGGACCAAGGAGUCGUCUUCGUAUGCGAGUGUUCGGGUGUAAAACCCCUACGCGUAAUGAAAGUGAACGCAGGUGAGAGCCCUCUUCUCAUCAUCGACCGAUCCUGAUGUUCUCGGAUGGAUUUGAGUAAGAGCAUACGGGGCCGGACCCGAAAGAAGUUUCUAUGCCUGUAUAGGGUGAAGCCAGAGGAAACU
rnacentral:rRNA from 1 species